CCUACGGGAGGCAGCAGUGAGGAAUAUUGGACAAUGGGCGCAAGCCUGAUCCAGCCAUGCCGCGUGCAGGAAGACGGUCCUAUGGAUUGUAAACUGCUUUUAUACAGGAAGAAACACCUCUACGUGUAGAGACUUGACGGUACUGUAUGAAUAAGCAUCGGCUAACUCCGUGCCAGCAGCCGCGGUAAUACGGAGGAUGCAAGCGUUAUCCGGAAUCAUUGGGUUUAAAGGGUCCGUAGGCGGUUUAAUAAGUCAGUGGUGAAAGCCCAUCGCUCAACGAUGGAACGGCCAUUGAUACUGUUAAACUUGAAUUAUUAGGAAGUAACUAGAAUAUGUAGUGUAGCGGUGAAAUGCUUAGAGAUUACAUGGAAUACCAAUUGCGAAGGCAGGUUACUACUAAUAUAUUGACGCUGAUGGACGAAAGCGUGGGGAGCGAACAGGAUUAGAUACCCUGGUAGUCCACGCCGUAAACGAUGGAUACUAGCUGUUCGGAGCAAUCUGAGUGGNGUAGAGAAGAGAUAAGUAUACCACCGUCGGGAGGUACGUUCGUCGAGAAGAGAAAGUUAAAGUUAAGUAAGUUAGUACGGACGUGAGACGUACGACGACGGACGACGACGAGGGGAGGAGGG
rnacentral:rRNA from 1 species